UAUGGCCAUAUAUAAUAAUAUAUUGAUCAAUAUACAGGAGUCUCUGAUUGAAUCAUCUCAGCUCUCAUAUCACGUAUGACGCGCCUACGUCACGUCGUCACAACCUGAAGCUAAAGUGGCGAGAGAGCCGUCUCGGCUCGAGCGCGGUCCGGAUUUUAGCUCCACAGUGUCGCCAGCCAGACUCCCCACCACAGUGACACAAACCAACCAGCCGUCUCGAGAGGUUGCUGAAGAGGUAUGCAGCGAUGGUCUGGAGGAAAAAAUAGUCACAUGGACUGGUGUGCAUUCCAGUACUUGAAAUGAUGCUGUUGCUCAGGCACAUCCAGGUGCGAGGAUGGGGGAGAUCCGGAUGUCGCUAAAUAAAAGAAUCUGUGAACUGCUUCACCAAGAGAAAAAGAAGUCCAUGGACAGGCCUAUGAGCCCUCUUGUUGACCUUGAGUGACUGAGGCUGCGGGCGGUCUGCCCCUGAAUUCACCUUCACUUUCUUUUCUUUUAAAAAAAAAUAUAUCUGAAGGUGUGUGUGUGUGUGCGCGCGCGCGCGGGUGUGUGUGUGUGGGCGCGGGCACGCGUAUGUGUUUGUGUGUGUGCGCGUGUGUGUGCACGCGUGCAUGUGUGCCAGUGCUUUAUGUGAGGUGUUUCGCUUACCGGCCACAGCC